AUAUAUAGUUUAAAUACCACAGUAUUUUUGUUACUGGGAGAACCCGCUGGCCAAAUGGGGUGGUGAAAAACGCUUAGGUUUCUGCGUCUGGGGGCGGAACCCGGACUUCAGAGUCUGCUUCCAAACCUGUCCUUCUGGAGGAUUUAUGAGUAUGAAUUUGUUAUCCUCAGAAGCUAGUGGCUGUGAAUUAACACAAAAACUUGUUGGAAGGAGAAACUGAGAGUGCUAGCUGCAGCUCUUUUUUGCAGAUGGAUUUUAAAAUUGAACACACUUGGGAUAGUUUUCCAGUGAAGCAUGAGCCAGUGUUUGUCAGGCUGAAUCCAGGCGACAGAGGAGUGAUGAUGGAAGUUAGUGCUCCAUUUUUCAAUGAUCCUCCAGCCCCGCUAGGAGAACCGGGAAAACCUUUCAAUGAACUGUGGGAUUAUGAAGUUGUGGAAGCAUUUUUCUUGAAUGACAUGACUGAACAGUAUUUAGAAGUUGAACUUUGUCCCCAUGGACAGCAUUUGGUGCUUUUACUCUCUGGAAGAAGAAAUGUGUGGAAACAAGAACUUGAUCUAUCAUUCAAAGUGUACAGAGGAGAGACAAAAUGGGAAGGCAGAGCUUAUCUUCCUUGGAGUUAUUUUCCACCAAAUGUGACAAAAUUCAAUUCAUUUGCAAUUCAUGGAUCAAAAGAUAAAAGAAGCUAUGAGGCUCUUUACCCAGUACCUCAACAUGAAAUGCAGCAAGGACAAAAACCUGAUUUCCAUCGUCUGGAAUACUUCAAGCCUUUCAGUUUUAACGUACUGCUUGGAGAAGAGUGGAAACAACCAGAAUCGGACCUGUGGCUAACAGAGGAACCUGAUGUAUAGCAGUGUAGUAGAUGACCAUAUCAAUCCUUUCUUCUCUAUACCUUUUAAGGAACCAUUCAGAAACUUUAAUUUUGACAGCAACCUCAAAAAAAAAAAAAGGCAUAUAUCUUGGAAUGCUUACUUUUAAAGUUAAGAAAACCAAGAGCUUCAGAGAUUAAGCAUCUUGCCCAAGAUCAUACACCUAAGGAGAUACGGAUUUGAACCCAGGAAGUUUUAUUCUGGAGAUCAGGCACUUGUGAACUAUGCUACAGCCACUGACUGAAAUUUUCAAAAGUAACCAAGAAAGAAAACAAUUGCCAGCUGGAAGAGGAUAGUUGGAAUAUAGAAUUACCACAACAUGGGACAGUUUACCAGUGCUACAAAGGCCUAUGACUCUCAGGUUUAAAUCUGGGGUCCAAGGCUUACUGAUGGAAGUGAAUGCUCCUUUCUUUGAUGAUCCUCUAGCAUCACCAGGCGAAGUAGGACAGGCUUUUUAUGGACUCUGGGAAUAUGAAGGCACAGACAGCACCUGGUCCUUCUGCUCUCCAGUGGUAAUGCAUUUGCAAAAGGGCUGAGUUUACAAUUUAAAGUCAACAUUACCUGGAACCAGUGGAAUGGGAUUACAUUUCUUCUUUGGGAAUAGUUUCCACCUGGUAUUGAUAAAAUGAAUUCAUAUGCAAUUCACGGAUCGGGGAUUAGAAGAAUUUAUGAAGCACUUUAUUCAAUACCACGUGAAGAGAUUGAGGACAGACAAGGGCCUAACUUCCAUCGUAUUGAGUAUUUCAAACCUUUCAACCUGGAGUGGAUUGUGGGAGACAACUGGAAGCAGCAAGAAUCAGAACUGUGGAAAGAGCUUUGCUGUGAUCCUUUACCUUCUGACAACCUGGGUUAUAACUCAUAAAGAAAGGCACUUAACAAAUAGAACUCUAUUCACUACCACCUCAGUUGGACAGCUGAAGUAAAAUCAUUGUUUGUUACCACUGUAAAUGUUCCAACAAUGUGCCAGAAAUAAAUCAUUUAAUUGAGCAUGA